GGGCAAUAAUUAUUUAAUUAUUAUGUUUUUUUCAUUUUUUUAAAAAAAUUAUUUUGUUUUUUAGUAUUUUUUGAAUUAAUAUAUUUUUAUUAUAGCUUAUUCUACUGUAAAGGAUUUAUCUAUAUUUUGUUUAAGUAUUUUUUAUUUAAUGUACCUUUUGCAUCAGGGUUUAUUAAAUUAAUAAAAUUAUUUUUUUUUCUCGAAAUUUUGGGAUUUAAACUUUAAUGAUUUUUAUUGUGAUAAAAAUAUUUUUAAUUAUGGUUUAGAUGUUAUAUGCUUUUCAUCCAAAAUGAUAUCUAGUUUAUUGAUAAAUGAAUUUAAUUCAUUCUUAAAAAGUUUAUUUUACUUUAAUUAUUUUAUAUUUUUUAGGUUAAAUUUGGUAGGGAUAAGCUUACCUUAUUUUUUAAAACUUUUUUUAUUAAGAUUUUUAAUAGGAUUGAAAAUUUCUAUUUUUAUUUUUUUAUAAUUAUAUUUCUUUUUUUAUCAUUUUUUGUUGUUUAAUUUUUUAUCAUUAUUUUUAUUUAAAUUUAUUUUUUUUUUAAUAAUGAUAAAAUUAGUAAUUUUUAUAAUUUUAAAAUAGUAACUCGGCAAAAUUAAUUUUCACCUGUUUAACAAAAACAUGGUCUUUUGUUUUAUAUAUAAGAUCAGGCCUGCCCAUUGAUUUUUGAAAAUUAAAAGGCUGCGGUAUUUUAACUGUACUAAGGUAGCAUAAUCAUUUGUCUUUUAAUUGAAGGCUAGUAUGAAUGGUUUGAUGAAAAAUUAACUUUCUUUUUUAAAUUAUUACGAACUUAAUUUUUUAGUUAAAAAGCUAAAAUUUUCUUAUAGGACGAGAAGACCCUAUAGAAGUUUACUUUUUCUAGUAAAGUUUAAUUUUAGUUUAUAUAUUUUCUUUAUAAAUUAAAAGUUUUGUUGGGGUGACAUUAAAAUUUAUUUAACUUUUAAUUAUUAUUUCAUUAAUUUAUGUUUUAUUGAUCCACAUUAUUUUGAUUAUAAGAUUAACUUACCUUAGGGAUAACAGCGUAAUUUUUUUGGAGAGUUCAUAUCGAUAAAAAAGCUUGCGACCUCGAUGUUGAAUUAAGAUUAGAUUUGGGGGUAAAAUUUCAAUUUUCUUGGUCUGUUCGACCAUUAAAUUCUUACAUGAUUUGAGUUCAGACCGGCGUAAGCCAGGUCGGUUUCUAUCCUUAUUUUAUAUAAAUUAGUACGAAAGGACCAUUUAUAUUAAUUAAAUUAUUUUUAUUUGA
rnacentral:rRNA from 1 species